GCAUCGAUGAAGAACGCAGCGAAAUGCGAUAAGUAAUGUGAAUUGCAGAAUUCAGUGAAUCAUCGAAUCUUUGAACGCACAUUGCGCCCGCUAGUAUUCUAGCGGGCAUGCCUGUUCGAGCGUCAUUUCAACCCUCAAGCCCUGCUUGGUGUUGGGGCCCUACGGCUGCCGUAGGCCCUGAAAACUAGUGGCGGGCUCGCUAUAACUCCGAGCGUAGUAGUAAAAUAUCUCGCUAGGGAGGUGUCGCGGGUUCCGGCCGUGAAAGCCCCAUCUUUUACACAAGGUUGACCUCGGAUCAGGUAGGAAUACCCGCUGAACUUAAGCAUAUCAAUAAGCGGAGGAAAAGAAACCAACAGGGAUUGCCCCAGUAACGGCGAGUGAAGCGGCAACAGCUCAAAUUUGAAAUCUGGCCUCGGCCCGAGUUGUAAUUUGUAGAGGAUGCUUUUGGUGAGGUGCCUUGUGAGUUCCCUGGAACGGGACGCCAGAGAGGGUGAGAGCCCCGUAUACUUGGACACCGAGCCUCUGUAAAGCUCCUUCGACGAGUCGAGUAGUUUGGGAAUGCUGCUCAAAAUGGGAGGUAUAUCUCUUCUAAAGCUAAAUAUUGGCCAGAGACCGAUAGCGCACAAGUAGAGUGAUCGAAAGAUGAAAAGCACUUUGAAAAGAGGGUUAAAUAGUACGUGAAAUUGUUGAAAGGGAAGCGCUUGUGACCAGACUUGUGCCGGGCUGAUCAUCCAGUGUUCUCACUGGUGCACUCUGCCCGGCUCAGGCCAGCGUCGGUUCUCGGUGGGGGACAAAAGCUUCGGGAA
rnacentral:rRNA from 1 species